UACGUAGGUGGCAAGCGUUAUCCGGAAUUACUGGGCGUAAAGCGCGCGCAGGCGGUCUUUUAAGUUUGACGUGAAAGCUCCCGGCUUAACUGGGAGAGGUCGUUGAAUACUGGAAGACUUGAGGCAAUGAGAGGGGUGUAGAAUUCCCGGUGUAGUGGUGGAAUGCGUAGAUAUCGGGGGGAAUACCAGUGGCGAAAGCGGCACCCUAGCGUUAGCCUGACGCUCAUGUGCAAAAGCGUGGGGAGCGAACGGG
rnacentral:rRNA from 1 species